GACGAACGCUGGCGGCGUGCCUCAAACAUGCAAGUCGAGCGUGGACACGUUGCCUCGCAAGAGGCGACGUGUUCUAGCGGCGAACGGGUGCGUAACACGUGGGAAACCAACCCUCCAGACGGGGACAACCUCGGGAAACCGGGGCUAAUACCGGAUACGUUCGCCGGGUCGCAUGGCCUGGCGAGGAAAGGAUCGCAAGAUCGCUGGAGGACGGUCCCGCGGCCUAUCAGCUAGUUGGUGAGGUAACGGCCCACCAAGGCGAUGACGGGU
rnacentral:rRNA from 1 species